rnacentral:rRNA from 1 species
CGGAGAAUGUUAUCACGGGAGACACACGGCGGGUGCUAACGUCCGUCGUGAAGAGGGAAACAACCCAGACCGCCAGCUAAGGUCCCAAAGUCAUGGUUAAGUGGGAAACGAUGUGGGAAGGCCCAGACAGCCAGGAUGUUGGCUUAGAAGCAGCCAUCAUUUAAAGAAAGCGUAAUAGCUCACUGGUCGAGUCGGCCUGCGCGGAAGAUGUAACGGGGCUAAACCAUGCACCGAAGCUGCGGCAGCGACACUAUGUGUUGUUGGGUAGGGGAGCGUUCUGUAAGCCUGUGAAGGUGUGUCGUGAGGCAUGCUGGAGGUAUCAGAAGUGCGAAUGCUGACAUAAGUAACGAUAAAGCGGGUGAAAAGCCCGCUCGCCGGAAGACCAAGGGUUCCUGUCCAACGUUAAUCGGGGCAGGGUGAGUCGACCCCUAAGGCGAGGCCGAAAGGCGUAGUCGAUGGGAAACGGGUUAAUAUUCCCGUACUUGGUGUUACUGCGAAGGGGGGACGG